rnacentral:pre_miRNA from 1 species
CAUAGCGUGAAUCUCGGCCCUCCAAAACAAAUCCAAUGGCUGAGAUUCGUCCAUGUCAUCACGAGUUAAAAUUUAACUCCCACUCUGAGAGUUAAAAUUUAACUCGUGAUGACGUGGACGAAUCUGGGAGUUAAAUUUUAACUCGUGAUGACGUGGACGAAUCUCAGCCGUUGGAUUUGUUUUGGAGGGCCGAGAUUCACGCUAUG